GCCCAGGUAGCUCAGUUGGUAGAGCAAGGGACUGAAAAUCCCUGUGUGGACAGUUCGAUUCUGUCCCUGGGCA
rnacentral:tRNA from 1 species